UACGGGGGGGGCAAGCGUUGUUCGGAAUUACUGGGCGUAAAGGGCGCGUAGGCGGCCUACUAAGUCGGACGUGAAAUCCCUCGGCUCAACCGAGGAACUGCGUCCGAUACUGGCAGGCUGGAAUCCGGGAGAGGGAUGUGGAAUUCCCGGUGUAGUGGUGAAAUGCGUAGAUAUCGGGAGGAACACCAGUGGCGAAGGCGGCUUCCUGGCCUGUUCUUGACGCUGAGGCGCGAAAGCUAGGGGAGCAAACGGG
rnacentral:rRNA from 1 species